UUCAGAGUCCGAGUUGUAAUUUGCAGAGGGCGCUUUGGCGUUGGCAGCGGUCCAAGUUCUUUGGAACAGGACGUCACAGAGGGUGAGAAUCCCGUACGUGGUCGCUAUCCUUCGCCGUGUAAAGCCCCUUCGACGAGUCGAGUUGUUUGGGAAUGCAGCUCUAAAUGGGAGGUAAAUUUCUUCUAAAGCUAAAUAUUGGCCAGAGACCGAUAGCGCACAAGUAGAGUGAUCGAAAGAUGAAAAGCACUUUGGAAAGAGAGUCAAAUAGCACGUGAAAUUGUUGAAAGGGAAGCGCUUGCAGCCAGACUUGCCUGUAGUUGCUUAUCCGGACUCUUGUCCGGUGCACUCUUCUGCGGGCAGGCCAGCAUCAGUUUGGGCGGUUAGAUAAAGGUCUCUGUCACGUACCUCUUUUCGGGGAGGCCUUAUAGGGGAGACGACAUGUAACCAGCCUGGACUGAGGUCCGCGCAUCUGCUAGGAUGCUGGCGUAAUGGCUGUAAGCGGCCCGUCUUGAAACACGGACCAAGGAGUCUAACAUCUAUGCGAGUGUUUGGGUGUCAAGCCCAGACGCGUAAUGAAAGUGAACGGAGGUAGGAACCCUUUGGGUGCACUAUCGACCGAUCCUGAUGUCUUCGGAAGGAUUUGAGUAAGAGCAUGGCUGUUGGGACCCGAAAGAUGGUGAACUAUGCUUGAAUAGGGUGAAGCCAGAGGAAACUCUGGUGGAGGCUCGCAGCGGUUCUGACGUGCAAAUCGAUCGUCAAAUUUGGGCAUAGGGGCGAAAGACUAAUCGAACUAUC
rnacentral:rRNA from 1 species